rnacentral:tRNA from 1 species
GCCUUCGUGGUGUAACGGUAGCACAUUCGACGCAUAUUCGAGAGGUCCAGGUUCGAAUCCCGGUGAAGGCA